UACGAAGGGGGCUAGCGUUGCUCGGAAUCACGUGGGCGUAAAGGGCGCGUAGGCGGCCGAUUAAGUCGGGGGUGAAAGCCUGUGGCUCAACCACAGAAUUGCCUCGAUACUGGUUGGCUUGAGACCGGAAGAGGACAGCGGAAUGCGAGUGUAGAGGUGAAAUUCGUAGAUAUUCGCAAGAACACCAGUGGCGAAGGCGGCUCACUGGCCCGGUACUGACGCUGGAGGUGCGAAAGCGUGGGGAGCAAACAGG
rnacentral:rRNA from 1 species